AGAAAUUAAGAAAAACCAUGUGGCUUAACCUCCCACUUAAGGGGACUUCCUGUCUGCAUCCUCCAGAAAUUCCUGACUCUUCAUGAGAUGAUCUCCUUUCAGUAAGUCUAUCUCCAGCCUGUCAAAUGGGUAUACAUCAGCAACUGAACACUUGACUGUGAUCGGCUUCCCAGCCUCCAGAGGGCCACUCAAAUGAAUCUCUGGAUCCUUAGGAAAAGCUGAAAAGGCCAAACAAAUACAUGGAUGGGCUUUUUGCUAAUGUGAUAUAAGGUCUCUUACCACUUUAACACAAUACAAAUCAAGUCUAGCGUUUUUGUUAAUACAGUCUUAAUACGACAGAACUGUUUGAAUAGCCUUUCAUGAUUUGGGGUGAGUUCAAGGCACAAGAAUUGGAAGCAAACAUUUUUUACAACAUUAUUCAAUUCUGAUCCUGUAUAUAUUAAGAGUUGCA
rnacentral:lncRNA from 10 species